GACGAACGCUGGCGGCGUGCUUAACACAAGCAAGUCGAACGGAAAGGCCCUGCUUUUGUGGGGUGCUCGAGUGGCGAACGGGUGAGUAACACGUGAGUAACCUGCCCUUGACUUUGGGAUAACUUCAGGAAACUGGGGCUAAUACCGGAUAGGAGCUCCUGCUGCAUGGUGGGGGUUGGAAAGUUUCGGCGGUUGGGGAUGGACUCGCGGCUUAUCAGCUUGUUGGUGGGGUAGUGGCUUACCAAGGCUUUGACGGGUAGCCGGCCUGAGAGGGUGACCGGCCACAUUGGGACUGAGAUACGGCCCAGACUCCUACGGGAGGCAGCAGUGGGGAAUAUUGCACAAUGGGCGGAAGCCUGAUGCAGCAACGCCGCGUGCGGGAUGACGGCCUUCGGGUUGUAAACCGCUUUCGCCUGUGACGAAGCGUGAAUGACGGUAAUGGGUAAAGAAGCACCGGCUAACUACGUGCCAGCAGCCGCGGUGAUACGUAGGGUGCGAGCGUUGUCCGGAUUUAUUGGGCGUAAAGGGCUCGUAGGUGGUUGAUCGCGUCGGAAGUGUAAUCUUGGGGCUUAACCCUGAGCGUGCUUUCGAUACGGGUUGACUUGAGGAAGGUAGGGGAGAAUGGAAUUCCUGGUGGAGCGGUGGAAUGCGCAGAUAUCAGGAGGAACACCAGUGGCGAAGGCGGUUCUCUGGGCCUUUCCUGACGCUGAGGAGCGAAAGCGUGGGGAGCGAACAGGCUUAGAUACCCUGGUAGUCCACGCUGUAAACGGUGGGUACUAGGUGUGGGGUCCAUUCCACGGGUUCCGUGCCGUAGCUAACGCUUUAAGUACCCCGCCUGGGGAGUACGGCCGCAAGGCUAAAACUCAAAGGAAUUGACGGGGCCCCGCACAAGCGGCGGAGCAUGCGGAUUAAUUCGAUGCAACGCGUAGAACCUUACCUGGGUUUGACAUGGAUCGGGAGUGCUCAGAGAUGGGUGUGCCUCUUUUGGGGUCGGUUCACAGGUGGUGCAUGGCUGUCGUCAGCUCGUGUCGUGAGAUGUUGGGUUAAGUCCCGCAACGAGCGCAACCCUUGUUCACUGUUGCCAGCACGUUAUGGUGGGGACUCAGUGGAGACCGCCGGGGUCAACUCGGAGGAAGGUGGGGAUGACGUCAAGCCAUCAUGCCCCUUAUGUCCAGGGCUUCACGCAUGCUACAAUGGCUGGUACAGAGAGUGGCGAGCCUGUGAGGGUGAGCGAAUCUCGGAAAGCCGGUCUCAGUUCGGAUUGGGGUCUGCAACUCGACCUCAUGAAGUCGGAGUCGCUAGUAAUCGCAGAUCAGCAACGCUGCGGUGAAUACGUUCCCGGGGCU
rnacentral:rRNA from 1 species